rnacentral:rRNA from 1 species
GUAGGGAAUAUUGGACAAUGGGCGAGAGCCUGAUCCAGCCAUGCCGCGUGCAGGAAGAAGGCCUUCUGGGUUGUAAACUGCUUUUGCCGGGGGAUAAAAUACCCAUGCGUGGGGAAUUGAAGGUACCCGGUGAAUAAGCCACGGCUAACUACGUGCCAGCAGCCGCGGUAAUACGUAGGUGGCGAGCGUUGUCCGGAUUUAUUGGGUUUAAAGGGUGCGUAGGCGGCCCCGUUAGUCAGCGGUGAAAUACGGCAGCUUAACUGUCGAGGUGCCGUUGAUACUGCGGGGCUUGAGUGCGGUCGAGGAGGGCGGAAUUGACGGUGUAGCGGUGAAAUGCUUAGAUAUCGUCAAGAACACCGAUAGCGAAGGCAGCCCUCCAGGCCGCAACUGACGCUGAGGCACGAAAGUGCGGGGAUCAAACAGGAUUAGAAACCCCUGUAGUCC